UGAGAAGUUCCAUUCUGAAAAUCCUUUGCUUCUAAAUGUGUGCAGAACUCUCUUCCCUGACAACCAUAAAUAUGUCUGGAGUGGACCUCGCGCACUGGUUCAGCGUGAAGGUUCCCGUCGUAGAAGUUGUAUUGAUGCUGCCAUUGAAAUUUUGAUGAAGUAGGUACGUUUUGAUUACUUCAGAUUGCCCCUACAAAGGAUCUGAAUCAAUCUUAUGCUUCGCCUGGAUCAAAUAUAAUGUUAUAGUGUGGCAUGUUUGACAUAAAUGCUUGCAUACAAAUGGAAUGUCUGGUAGUUGGUGGCUCUUCUCAGCUGAGAAUGGUAAUUUGCUUUAGUAUGGUCUUGAUUUACAAUCCCUAGUCAGCAUUUGUUGUGACCUUUUGGGUAUGUGGGAAGAUACACUGGUAUUUCUUGUUGUGAAUACACUUGGUAACUGUAAUGAUUUAAUAUUGAGCUAAGAUUUUUUAGUGUGUUAUUGCAGGAAACAAUCACUUGUAAAACUGUAAAUAGUUGAUCCUUUUUAUUUCCACACAUCUAUUUCUUUUCAUUUCUAAAUGAACAGCAG
rnacentral:misc_RNA from 1 species